UACGAAGGGGGCUAGCGUUGCUCGGAAUCACUGGGCGUAAAGCGCGACGUAGGCGGCUUUCUAAGUCAGGGGUGAAAUCCUGGAGCUCAACUCCAGAACUGCCUUUGAUACUGGAGAGCUUGAGUCCGGAAGAGGUGAGUGGAACUCCGAGUGUAGAGGUGAAAUUCGUAGAUAUUCGGAAGAACACCAGUGGCGAAGGCGGCUCACUGGUCCGGUACUGACGCUGAGGUGCGAAAGCGUGGGGAGCAAACAGG
rnacentral:rRNA from 1 species